rnacentral:ncRNA from 1 species
UUCAAAGCGAUGAUCUGGAGCAGUAGCGUGAAGCUGGAGCCGACAGAGAGCUAUCCCUUGGCUGGAAGGAUGGCGGCUGCAAUUACGUGAACGACACCAGAGAGCGCCGCCUGAACGCUGAUGCCAGUAGGAGCGGACGGUCUCCCGCCGUUACAGGGGAAGAGUGAUCGCCUUGUGCGAUAAUUAGGGUGGUACCGCGUGAAUCAGACCUCGUCCCUUUU